rnacentral:lncRNA from 1 species
CGCUGGUUUUUAGGUUAGCAGAGGUUGGAGGAAGGGCCAGACUGAGGCGGAGCUUGCUGCUGUCAAGGAAAAAAAAAAAAAAAGAAAAGAGAAAAAAAGGGGGCUGCAAAUUGCUGUUCUCAGCUUUUUUCUCUCCUCUCCUCCACCCCCGCCCUCCCCCGAAAAAAGGCAGUGCUUUCUCUUAGGCUCUUAAAAAUGAUGCAGAAUUUUAACCAUCUGCUGUACCCGGAGCUCUUCGCUGGUGCUGCACAGCUGAAUGUUUGCAAAGGGAAGAAUUUGUAAAGCUUUCUGAAAUAGACAACUAUUUGUAAGCAUGUAAAAUAUUUUAGGGAAUCCUUUCUUUAAAGAAAGGUUCUGUUUAAUUGCAGACUGAGUGAGAAUGCCGGACUUGGAAAGUAUUUAAUGGUCAUUGGAAAAAAAUGAGGAAGAGGAGGGUGUGGCUGCUGCUGGGAGGCUCUGGCCCUGCAAAGGGUCCCUGGCUCGUAGAGAUGUGGUCCUGCAUCAGCACAAAACGAAGACUUCUUUUCGCAGCUCUGUCUGGGAGGCCCCGGUUGUGAGCGGAGGGAGCGGAGGGUUUGAGCGCGGUGCCCCGGGCAGAGCUGGGUGCCCGCUCGCAGUCCCGGCGCUUCAGCCGGGCUGCCGGAGCGCCGCCCGGGACGGACGGACGGACGGACAGAGCGGGCUCCCCGUGCGGGGCUGCCAAGGCACCGCCGCUAACUCACCUGCGCCCGGCGAGCUGUCCCGAGGCAAGAGUAGAGUAAAAAAACACCGGGGAAAAAAAAGCUGCAAGAUAAACAUUAUGUCGGCAGCACCCUUAAAAACCUGCUCGUGCAACCACCCCUUUUAAUGACUCCUUUCUUGGAGGAAAAAAAAAAAAUUAAAAAAUAAAUCACUCGUGCUAGUGCCA